UACGUAGGGGGCAAGCGUUGUUCGGAAUUACUGGGCGUAAAGGGCGCGUAGGCGGCACGGCAAGUCGGGAGUGAAAGGCCUGGGCUCAACCGAGGAACUGCUUUCGAGACUGCCGAGCUAGAGUGCGGAAGGGGCAACUGGAAUUCCCAGUGUAGCGGUGAAAUGCGUAGAUAUUGGGAAGAACACCUGAGGCGAAGGCGGGUUGCUGGGCCGACACUGACGCUGAGGCGCGAAAGCCAGGGGAGCAAACGGGU
rnacentral:rRNA from 1 species